GCCCCCAUAGCUUAAGGGAUAAAGCUAUGCUCCGCUAAAGCACAGAUGGUGGUUCGAAUCCGCCUGGGGGCA
rnacentral:tRNA from 1 species